UACGUAGGGUGCGAGCGUUGUCCGGAAUUAUUGGGCGUAAAGAGCUCGUAGGCGGUGUGUCGCGUCGGCCGUGAAAACCUGGGGCUUAACUCUGGGCGUGCGGUCGAUACGGGCAUCACUAGAGUUCGGCAGGGGAGACUGGAAUUCCUGGUGUAGCGGUGAAAUGCGCAGAUAUCAGGAGGAACACCGGUGGCGAAGGCGGGUCUCUGGGCCGGUACUGACGCUGAGGCGCGAAAGCGUGGGGAGCAAACAGG
rnacentral:rRNA from 1 species